rnacentral:rRNA from 1 species
AACGAACGCUGGCGGCAGGCUUAACACAUGCAAGUCGAACGGGUGUAGCAAUACAUCAGUGGCAGACGGGUGAGUAACACGUGGGAACCUUCCUAGGGGUACGGAACAACUCAGGGAAACUUGAGCUAAUACCGUAUACGUCCGUGAGGAGAAAGAUUUAUCGCCCUUAGACGGGCCCGCGUCGGAUUAGGUAGUUGGUGGGGUAACGGCCUACCAAGGCGAAGAUCCGUAGCUGAUCUUAGAGGAUGAUCAGCCACACUGGGACUGAGACACGGCCCAGACUCCUACGGGAGGCAGCAGUGGGGAAUCUUGGACAAUGGGCGCAAGCCUGAUCCAGCCAUGCCGCGUGAGUGAAGAAGGUCUUCGGAUUGUAAAGCUCUUUUGCCAGGGACGAUAAUGACGGUACCUGGAGAAUAAGCCCCGGCAAACUUCGUGCCAGCAGCCGCAGUAAGAC